rnacentral:tRNA from 1 species
UGUUAAAAUGGCAGAUAAUAUGCAUUAGAUUUAAAACCUAAAGAUGAGUAAAUACUCUUUUAAUAA